rnacentral:pre_miRNA from 1 species
AAGUUGGCUGUGAUUUGGCUGGUUGUAUGAUAAUAUCAGUUAAAUGACACCAACUA